rnacentral:rRNA from 1 species
GACGAACGCUGGCGGCGUGCUUAACACAUGCAAGUCGAACGGAAAGGCCCUGCUUUUGUGGGGUGCUCGAGUGGCGAACGGGUGAGUAACACGUGAGUAACCUGCCCUUGACUUUGGGAUAACUUCAGGAAACUGGGGCUAAUACCGGAUAGGAGCUCCUGCUGCAUGGUGGGGGUUGGAAAGUUUCGGCGGUUGGGGAUGGACUCGCGGCUUAUCAGCUUGUUGGUGGGGUAGUGGCUUACCAAGGCUUUGACGGGUAGCCGGCCUGAGAGGGUGACCGGCCACAUUGGGACUGAGAUACGGCCCAGACUCCUCCGGGAGGCAGCAGUGGGGAAUAUUGCACAAUGGGCGGAAGCCUGAUGCAGCAACGCCGCGUGCGGGAUGACGGCCUUCGGUUUGUAAACCGCUUUCGCCUGUGACGAAGCGUGAGUGACGGUAAUGGUAAAGAAGCACCGGCUAACUACGUG